GGGACAGGGCUGCAGGUCUGGCUCCACUUCCCCACGGAUGGAAGGUCUUCUCUCCACAGGAAUUAGGGUUCUGGGGCAGGGGGGUAAUGGGGUCCAGCCUUCCCACUCCAGGAGGACCAUCUCUGCCUCAGAUAUGGAAACCUUUACUUCAUUUUGCCACUUAAGUUUUGUGACAGAGUUUGAGAUAGAAACUGUGGAGGAAUCUAGGUGAAAAUCGUUGGGUAGCAUUUUGCAAGUGUGGAAGUGACAUCAUUUGCUUUUUCCUUGAAAGUUUCCUGAUCCGGAUAUUGGUUAAAAAAAAAUCAUGGUGGCAUAGACCCUGAUGAGUAUCAUCUUCAGAUGCUGGAAUUAUAUCUUAAACUAACCAAAGGGAUCAUCUACUGAUGACCCAAAUUUCCUUUCAAGAAUUAACAAAUCUCAUUUUUUUUCCCCCUAGGAACUCUACUCAUCUGUAGUUAAUCUAAGAAUUAACAUUUAGCAAAUUACUGCGUCAGUGCCUUAAAUGAGCCCCUCCAUUUACUUCACCUAAGAAGUGGAAAUCAAUAUUUGAAACUUUUCUUGAAGCUUUGUGGGAAUUCCACACAUGGAAGAUUGCCAGGAGCAGAAGCAUGUGACUCGAUGUCUUUUCCUGGAGUGGACACAUCCUGUAACCACCUCCCUAGGACAAGAAAGAGGAUACGGCCAACUUUCCCCGCUGCCCCGUGAAUAACUGCUGUUGAAGGAUCAAUGCUCCAGGUCCCCUCUGCCAGUCGGUGUUUAUCAGAGGACAGUGGAGGAAGAGGGACAAAAGUUCUUGGAUAUAUGUGUUAAUCAAGAAUUGUCAGGACCCUGCCUCUAAAAGGAAGUGUUAAAAUAAUGUUUUUGACAUCAAGACUUUUCUCAAAGUUCAUGUAAUCCAAGGGUUUGGCAAACAAAGGACCACAGGCUAAAUCUGAUUUGUUGCCUGUUUUUGUAAAUAAAGAUUUAUUGGAACACGGCCACACUCACUCGUUUAUGCAUUGUCUGCCACUGCUUUUGCACUACAACGUGGAGCAGUAGUGGCAGAGACCACGUGGCCUGCAAAGAUUUGCCUUCUGGCUCUUUACAGAAAAAGUUUGCUGACUUCUGAAAUAGUCUAUCCAAUUCACUGAGUAUCUACUCAAUAACUCCUCCACGCGGAGAAAUACACUUACAGGAAUUUUUAGAGUGGUCCUUGUUUGAUGAAAGGCUGAGGGCCUUCGGUAACAUGCUUAUGUUAUGGGUGUUCAGUACGGGUGUAUAGACAGCAGGAAGCAAGAAGGUUUUGGCAAGAAGUCAUGGUUUGAGAAAGGUUCUGCCGUUAUUGUCUCAGUGGCAAGUCACCAAUCAUGAUUGGGCUCUUCCUUGUCUGCUACCUGGAGGAGAAGGUGUUGACGUGGUUGGAGCUUCUGGCUUGGAGUGCACCUUUAUUAACUACUUCAAGACCUUACGGUCAACAUGGUGGACUUUUGCUUCCAGACCAAAAGAUGGGAGCCCUUUGCCACCAGUUGGUGGUUGGGAGGGUACAUAAAGUCCUAGGGAAUCCAUAUCAGAGAAAUUUUCAAGUAUGAAUUGUCCAAUUAAAUGACAUAUAGUAAACAUGCCCGAUGUGCACUUAUUUUGCCAUACUGUUAAACACAGUCUUCAUUCAGAUUGUACUCAUUCAAUGACGUGUCUUGUAAUUUUUGAGAUGAUCAUUAUCGAAUAUCCCUACAGGAAGCAGCUUCCACCAAAAUAUUGAAUUUGCCUUGUCAUGGGAGGAGAAGUGAAGUUCUUCAAAGUUUCCGUUUUUGAUAUUGCCCUUUUAACAGAGAAGUUUGCCAACAUUUUCCUCAUCUUCAAUAUUGUUAGUUAUUUGUUCUCUUCAGGUUUAUCUGUGAACCUAAAAGUCAUAGAAAUCGCUGAAACAAAGAUGCCAAUGAAGUUGCCUCCCCCCCACACGCAAAAACUUUCCGGAAUCUUCCAUCGUACAGUUGUCACCUGCAAAGAAUUUUGAGAGGUACAGUGGAAAAUAUUGCCUUAUUCUCCUCUUUCCCCCCAAAUAAGUCAGUCGCAGACCUGUUGGCUGAAUUUUGGUGGUGUUAUCUGAUUCUGCAAUUCUUCCAUGAAGCUGUGUUACUUCUCAGAUAUUCACAGGACCCAGGAUGCUGCUGUUUUGAGAAAUUUAAUUUGUUCAGCACACAAAAAGCAUAUCCAUAGCAGGGCUUAACACUGAUACAGAUAACUCUUUCCAUCUGUAAGAAGUUUGUAAGUAUUAACUAAUUUAUUUAACUUUCCUGUAAUGGAGUGAAUUUCCUUCCAUUUGCUAUGGGAAACCCUUCUUUUUCUAAUUCUAAUCUUUUAGCAGGUAUUCUACUGAAAAUUGUCACCAUGCUGGAAAUAUUUUGUAGAGAGAAAAUACAUAUUUCAACACAGUGUGAAAUUCCACCGAAAUAGAUGACCUC